AGAGUUGAUUAUGGCUCAGAACGAACGCUGCGGCAUGGAUUAGGCAUGCAAGCGAACGGGAGCAGCAAUGCUCCAGUGGCGCAAAGGGUGAGGAACACGUGAACAACCUGCCUUCGAGUUGGGGAUAGCUUCUGGAAACGGGAGAUAAUACCGAAUAACAUCAUUGGAUCGCAUGAUUUGAUGAUCAAAGCAGCAAUGCGCUUGAAGAGGGGUUCGCGUCCCAUUAGCUAGUUGGUGAGGUAACGGCCCACCAAGGCGAUGAUGGGUAGCUGGUCUGAGAGGACGAUCAGCCACAUUGGGACUGAGAUACUGCCCAGACUCCUACGGGAGGCUGCAGUCGAGAAUUUUGGGCAAUGGACGAAAGUCUGACCCAGCCAAUGCCGCGUGCGGGAUGAAGGUCUUCGGAUUGUAAACCGCUGUCAAGAGGGACGAAACAUGACGGUACCUCUGGAGGAAGCCACGGCUAACUACGUGCCAGCCGCAGC
rnacentral:rRNA from 1 species